UACGAAGGGGGCUAGCGUUGCUCGGAAUUACUGGGCGUAAAGCGCACGUAGGCGGCUUUCUAAGUCGGGGGUGAAAUCCUGGAGCUCAACUCCAGAACUGCCUUCGAUACUGGAGAGCUCGAGUCCGGGAGAGGUGAGUGGAACUGCGAGUGUAGAGGUGAAAUUCGUAGAUAUUCGCAAGAACACCAGUGGCGAAGGCGGCUCACUGGCCCGGUACUGACGCUGAGGUGCGAAAGCGGGGGGAGCAAACAGG
rnacentral:rRNA from 1 species